rfam:Prevotella sp. oral taxon 299 str. F0039, complete genome.
ACAAUGUAGAGUUUGAUCCUGGCUCAGGAUGAACGCUAGCUACAGGCUUAACACAUGCAAGUCGAGGGGCAGCAUGUUGGUUGCUUGCAACCAAUGAUGGCGACCGGCGCACGGGUGAGUAACGCGUAUCCAACCUACCCAAUACUCAGGCAUAACCCGUUGAAAGACGGACUAAUUCCUGAUGGUAUGUAUUUUUCUCAUGAUUUAUACAUUAAAGAACUUCGGUAUUGGAUGGGGAUGCGUCUGAUUAGUUUGUUGGUGAGGUAACGGCUCACCAAGGCAUCGAUCAGUAGGGGUUCUGAGAGGAAGGUCCCCCACAUUGGAACUGAGACACGGUCCAAACUCCUACGGGAGGCAGCAGUGAGGAAUAUUGGUCAAUGGAUGAAAAUCUGAACCAGCCAAGUAGCGUGCAGGAUGACGGCCCUAUGGGUUGUAAACUGCUUUUAUGUGAGAAUAAAGUUAGGUAUGUAUACUUAUUUGCAUGUAUCACAUGAAUAAGGACCGGCUAAUUCCGUGCCAGCAGCCGCGGUAAUACGGAAGGUCCAGGCGUUAUCCGGAUUUAUUGGGUUUAAAGGGUGCGUAGGCCGUUUGAUAAGCGUGCUGUGAAAUAUAGUGGCUCAACCUCUAUCGUGCAGCGCGAACUGUCGAACUUGAGUGCGUAGUAGGUAGGCGGAAUUCGUGGUGUAGCGGUGAAAUGCUUAGAUAUCACGAAGAACUCCGAUUGCGAAGGCAGCUUACCGUAACGUUACUGACGCUUAAGCACGAAGGUGCGGGUAUCGAACAGGAUUAGAUACCCUGGUAGUCCGCACAGUAAACGAUGGAUGCUCGCUGUUGGCCUUUUAUGGUCAGUGGCUUAGCGAAAGCGUUAAGCAUCCCACCUGGGGAGUACGCCGGCAACGGUGAAACUCAAAGGAAUUGACGGGGGCCCGCACAAGCGGAGGAACAUGUGGUUUAAUUCGAUGAUACGCGAGGAACCUUACCCGGGCUUGAACUGCAGCUGAACGAUUCAGAGAUGAUGAGGCCCUUCGGGGCAGCUGUGGAGGUGCUGCAUGGUUGUCGUCAGCUCGUGCCGUGAGGUGUCGGCUUAAGUGCCAUAACGAGCGCAACCCCUUUUCUUAGUUGCCAUCAGGUAAUGCUGGGCACUCUGGGAAUACUGCCACCGUAAGGUGUGAGGAAGGUGGGGAUGACGUCAAAUCAGCACGGCCCUUACGUCCGGGGCUACACACGUGUUACAAUGGCGCAUACAGAAUGUUGGUUUCAUGCAAAUGAGAUCUAAUCUUCAAAGUGCGUCUCAGUUCGGACUGGGGUCUGCAACCCGACCCCACGAAGCUGGAUUCGCUAGUAAUCGCGCAUCAGCCAUGGCGCGGUGAAUACGUUCCCGGGCCUUGUACACACCGCCCGUCAAGCCAUGAAAGCCGGGGGCGCCUAAAGUCCGUGACCGCAAGGGUCGGCCUAGGGUGAAACUGGUGAUUGGGGCUAAGUCGUAACAAGGUAGCCGUACCGGAAGGUGCGGCUGGAACACCUCCUUU